rnacentral:rRNA from 1 species
CCGAGUCUUAAUUGGGCGUUAAGUUGCAGGGUAUAGACCCGAAACCCGGUGAUCUAGCCAUGGGCAGGUUGAAGGUUGGGUAACACUAACUGGAGGACCGAACCGACUAAUGUUGAAAAAUUAGCGGAUGACCUGUGGCUGGGGGUGAAAGGCCAAUCAAACCGGGAGAUAGCUGGUUCUCCCCGAAAGCUAUUUAGGUAGCGCCUCGUGAAUUCAUCUCCGGGGGUAGAGCACUGUUUCGGCUAGGGGGCCAUCCCGGCUUACCAACCCGAUGCAAACUGCGAAUACCGGAGAAUGUUAUCACGGGAGACACACGGCGGGUGCUAACGUCCGUCGUGAAGAGGGAAACAACCCAGACCGCCAGCUAAGGUCCCAAAGUCAUGGUUAAGUGGGAAACGAUGUGGGAAGGCCCAGACAGCCAGGAUGUUGGCUUAGAAGCAGCCAUCAUUUAAAGAAAGCGUAAUAGCUCACUGGUCGAGUCGGCCUGCGCGGAAGAUGUAACGGGGCUAAACCAUGCACCGAAGCUGCGGCAGCGAACGUAUCACCCAAGACAACUUUACGGAGUUGACGAUUGACGGAGCGAAGCGACGUCAAAGCGUUCAUUAAAGUCGAGUUGGCUUAGGGAUACGUUCGUUGGGUAGGGGAGCGUUCUGUAAGCCUGUGAAGGUGUGUCGUGAGGCAUGCUGGAGGUAUCAGAAGUGCGAAUGCUGACAUAAGUAACGAUAAAGCGGGUGAAAAGCCCGCUCGCCGGAAGACCAAGGGUUCCUGUCCAACGUUAAUCGGGGCAGGGUGAGUCGACCCCUAAGGCGAGGCCGAAAGGCGUAGUCGAUGGGAAACGGGUUAAUAUUCCCGUACUUGGUGUUACUGCGAAGGGGGGACGGAGAAGGCUAUGUUGGCCGGGCGACGGUUGUCCCGGUUUAAGCGUGUAGGUGUGUGUUCCAGGUAAAUCCGGUUCACUUUAACACUGAGGCGUGACG